UGUGAGCUCGAUGAGUAGGGCGGGACACGUGGUAUCCUGUCUGAAUAUGGGGGGACCAUCCUCCAAGGCUAAAUACUCCUGACUGACCGAUAGUGAACCAGUACCGUGAGGGAAAGGCGAAAAGAACCCCGGCGAGGGGAGUGAAAAAGAACCUGAAACCGUGUACGUACAAGCAGUGGGAGCCUCUUAAUGGGGUGACUGCGUACCUUUUGUAUAAUGGGUCAGCGACUUAUAUUCUGUAGCAAGGUUAACCGAAUAGGGGAGCCGAAGGGAAACCGAGUCUUAACUGGGCGUUAAGUUGCAGGGUAUAGACCCGAAACCCGGUGAUCUAGCCAUGGGCAGGUUGAAGGUUGGGUAACACUAACUGGAGGACCGAACCGACUAAUGUUGAAAAAUUAGCGGAUGACUUGUGGCUGGGGGUGAAAGGCCAAUCAAACCGGGAGAUAGCUGGUUCUCCCCGAAAGCUAUUUAGGUAGCGCCUCGUGAAUUCAUCUCCGGGGGUAGAGCACUGUUUCGGCAAGGGGGUCAUCCCGACUUACCAACCCGAUGCAAACUGCGAAUACCGGAGAAUGUUAUCACGGGAGACACACGGCGGGUGCUAACGUCCGUCGUGAAGAGGGAAACAACCCAGACCGCCAGCUAAGGUCCCAAAGUCAUGGUUAAGUGGGAAACGAUGUGGGAAGGCCCAGACAGCCAGGAUGUUGGCUUAGAAGCAGCCAUCAUUUAAAGAAAGCGUAAUAGCUCACUGGUCGAGUCGGCCUGCGCGGAAGAUGUAACGGGGCUAAACCAUGCACCGAAGCUGCGGCAGCGACACUAUGUGUUGUUGGGUAGGGGAGCGUUCUGUAAGCCUGUGAAGGUGGCCUGUGAGGGUUGCUGGAGGUAUCAGAAGUGCGAAUGCUGACAUAAGUAACGAUAAAGCGGGUGAAAAGCCCGCUCGCCGGAAGACCAAGGGUUCCUGUCCAACGUUAAUCGGGGCAGGGUGAGUCGACCCCUAAGGCGAGGCCGAAAGGCGUAGUCGAUGGGAAACAGGUUAAUAUUCCUGUACUUGGUGUUACUGCGAAGGGGGGACGGAGAAGGCUAUGUUGGCCGGGCGACGGUUGUCCCGGUUUAAGCGUGUAGGCUGGUUUUCCAGGCAAAUCCGGAAAACCAAGGCUGAGGCGUGAUGA
rnacentral:rRNA from 1 species